rnacentral:rRNA from 1 species
UGCCAGCAGCCGCGGUAAUACGAAGGGUGCUAGCGUUGUUCGGAAUUACUGGGCGUAAAGAGCAUGUAGGCGGGUGAAUAAGUCAGACGUGAAAGCCUGGAGCUCAACUCCAGAAUUGCAUUUGAAACUGUUUACCUUGAGGAUAGGCGGAGAAGACGGAAUUCCACGUGUAGCGGUGAAAUGCGUAGAUAUGUGGAAGAACACCGGUGGCGAAGGCGGUCUUCUAGCUUAUUCCUGACACUGAGGCGCGAAAGCAAGGGGAGCAAACAGGAUUAGAUA